rnacentral:pre_miRNA from 1 species
AUCAUUUGGAAAUCUUGUUAAAAUGCAAAUUCUGAUUUAGUAGAUCUGGGGUGGGACCUAAGAUUUUGCAUUUCUAACAGACUCCUAGGUGAUGUCAA